GGCGGUGGCCAUGGCGGUGGGGAAACACCCGUUCCCAUUCCGAACACGGCCGUUAAGCCCACCAGCGCCGAUGGUACUUGGGGGGAGACCCCCUGGGAGAGUAGGGCGCCGCCGACC
rfam:Acidimicrobium ferrooxidans DSM 10331, complete genome.